rnacentral:rRNA from 1 species
GAGGAAAAGAAACUAACAAGGAUUCCCCUAGUAGCGGCGAGCGAAGCGGGAAGAGCUCAAAUUUAUAAUCUGGCACCUUCGGUGUCCGAGUUGUAAUCUCUAGAAAUGUUUUCCGCGUUGGACCGCACACAAGUCUGUUGGAAUACAGCGGCAUAGUGGUGAGACCCCCGUAUAUGGUGCGGACGCCCAGCGCUUUGUGAUACAUUUUCGAAGAGUCGAGUUGUUUGGGAAUGCAGCUCAAAUUGGGUGGUAAAUUCCAUCUAAAGCUAAAUAUUGGCGAGAGACCGAUAGCGAACAAGUACCGUGAGGGAAAGAUGAAAAGCACUUUGGAAAGAGAGUUAACAGUACGUGAAAUUGUUGGAAGGGAAACGCUUGAAGUCAGACUUGCUUGCCGAGCAAUCGGUUUGCAGGCCAGCAUCAGUUUUCCGGGAUGGAUAAUGGUAGAGAGAAGGUAGCAGUUUCGGCUGUGUUAUAGCUCUCUGCUGGAUACAUCUUGGGGGACUGAGGAACGCAGUGUGCCUUUGGCGGGGGUUUCGACCUCUUCACACUUAGGAUGCUGGUGGAAUGGCUUUAAACGACCCGUCUU